rnacentral:misc_RNA from 1 species
AUCUUAUGAUUUAUAUUCUUAUUUUAAAAAAAAUUUUUAUAGAAUGGAAAUUUUUGAAUAAAGUAUUAGGAAAAAUAAAUUCCCAGUAUUCUAAUGAUCCUUCCGCAGGUUCACCUACGGAAA